rnacentral:snRNA from 1 species
GGGUGAUCUGGCCNUAAGUUCUGUCACCCCACUGAUUGCCAGAGUUGAUCUGGCUGAUGCAUCUGGUUAGAUGGAGUCCCCUUUCUACAUCAUGAGUGUCCCUUCCAAAGCUGUGCACUCAGAUGAAGAGAACAAUCUUUUCUGAUGAGGAAGACCAUUUCUUGCUGCAC